rnacentral:rRNA from 1 species
CCUACGGGAGGCAGCAGUGGGGAAUAUUGCGCAAUGGGCGAAAGCCUGACGCAGCGACGCCGCGUGAGGGAUGAAGGUCUUCGGAUCGUAAACCUCUGUCAGCAGGGAAGAACGGUCACUGUGCUAAUCAGCAGUGAAUUGACGGUACCUGCAAAGGAAGCACCGGCUAACUCCGUGCCAGCAGCCGCGGUAAUACGGAGGGUGCGAGCGUUAAUCGGAAUUACUGGGCGUAAAGCGCUCGUAGGCGGUAUGUCAAGUCAAGGGUGAAAUCCCCGCGCUCAACGUGGGAACUGCCUUUGAAACUGGCAGACUGGAGUGUGUGAGAGGGUAGUAGAAUUCCAGGUGUAGGAGUGAAAUCCGUAGAUAUCUGGAGGAACAUCAGUGGCGAAGGCGACUAUCUGGCACAUAACUGACGCUGAGGAGCGAAAGCGUGGGUAGCAAACAGGAUUAGAUACCCUAGUAGUC